CAACCUCAACUCAUAUGGGACUACCCCCUGAAUUUAAGAAUAUUAAUUAGGGGAGGAAAAGAAACUAACAAGGAUUUUCUUAGUAGCGGCGAGCGAAAAGAAAACAGUUCAGCACUAAGUCACUUUGUCUAUAUGGCAAAUGUGAGAUGCAGUGUAUGGAGCGUCAAUAUUCCAGUAUGAGAAAUUAAUAAUUUAAGUCCUUCUUAAUGAGGCCAUUUACCCAUAGAGGGUGCCAGGCCCGUAUAACGUUAAUUAUUACUAGAUAAUGUUUCCAAAGAGUAGUGUUGC
rnacentral:ncRNA from 1 species